rnacentral:rRNA from 1 species
GACGGGGGGGGGGCAAGUGUUCUUCGGAAUGACUGGGCGUAAAGGGCACGUAGGCGGUGAAUCGGGUUGAAAGUGAAAGUCGCCAAAAAAGUGGCGGAAUGCUCUCGAAACCAAAUUCACUUGAGUGAGACAGAGGAGAGUGGAAUUUCGUGUGUAGGGGUGAAAUCCGUAGAUCUACGAAGGAACGCCAAAAAGCGAAGGCAGCUCUCUGGGUCCCUACCGACGCUGGGGUGCGAAAGCAUGGGGGAGCGAACAGG